rnacentral:lncRNA from 1 species
UGCCUCUAGCUUUUAGCAAUCAUGAAUAAAGCUGCUAUAAACAUUCAUGUGCAGGUUUCUAAGCAGACAUAGUUUUCAACUCAUUUGGAUAACAGCAAGAAAGAGGAAACUCACUACUUUUGAAGUGACAAGUUCAAUUAGUGGAUGACUUGCACUCCUCGAAGCAAUGAUUGGAGACGGUGAAGCUGCGUAAAAUGAAAGAUACCUGGAUCCCUAAGUCACCACAUGGCAAAUAGCUGCCUGGCCUUCAUUUAACUUUGCCUGAGCAAGAAGCAAACUUUUAUGUGUUAAACUUCUGAGAGUUUAAGGUUUGUUUGUUCUUGCUGUGUAGACUACCCCAUCCGGAGUAUUAAAGCUGAAGAUUA